GGACACGACUGAGCAACUGAACUGUAGACUUUCAAGGGAAUUGUGAUGCAUGCUGUUACUAUGUACUUUUACUUAGACCCCAUAUAUGGAAGCGCUUAGCCUUGCUAGACUAGGCAAGCCUUGCUAGAAAGUUACUAGGAACAAGGAACUCUAGCUCCAGCAGCAUGUUCGGGGAACUAGGCGGAGCUCGAGCUCCAGGAACGCCUCUCAGGCUGGAGGUUACUCCUUUGGCUACCUGCCUCAGGGGCCAGCAACCUGAAAGUGAGUCUUUGUCACAGCUGUGUCUCCUCUCUAUAUGGAUAGAAGCCUUGCUGGUGACCAUGUGGUUUUUGAGGACACAGAUCAGGAAUUACAGGAUCUGGUCAGAUUGGAAAGCAAUGGGCUUCUUCCUUUGAUAGCGCUUGCUCUUAUUGGGCCAGAGGAGACUCUCUGAUGGAUUUUAUCUCAAUUCCUUAGAUACUUCUUUCUGUGUAAUCUGUGGAAAUGAACUGGAAGGCUUGGCCCUAGUAGCUUGAGGACAAAAAUCACUUUUUCCUCGCUGGCCAACCCUCCACCACCUCUUUUGCUGUCACAUGUACUGGCAUGGUGACACACAGAAGGGACAUCCUGGUUGUUGUUCGUCCCUUUAUAACUCACCAUUUCUACUGCGGUCAGGACUGUACUCAGGAAUGUACAUGGGCACACGUAAGAUGGAUGCUUCCGCCUAGUAGUACUAGCUUGGGAAACAUUCCGAGAAAGCUACUCUGUUACAUUCUGGCUGGCAUCAGAAGAAAAGUGGAAAUCAAAUAAAGGUCUUGGCAGUAUGCAACUAAGUCAAUCUGGGAUGUCAUCAGAGCUAUCCCCAGUGCAUCUCCACCCCGCCUCCGUGGUAGAACCAGGAGGGACGAGUAAGAUGGCUGCGUCAGUAAGGAACAGACUAAGUCCGACCAGGGAAAGAAAGCUGCGGUGGAAAUAUGUCUACACCUCCAUCUAGAGCAGGGAAGGACACUUCCAGUGGAAGAAAGCCACGGCUGUGAAUGCCGCUUUUUUCUCUCUUACAGAUGGGAGCUAGCAGGUCCAGAACCACUUCUUUAAAAUGUAUUUUUAAAAACUGGGAAAAUUUGAUCCCCAAAGUUUUUAAAAAAACACCCCUGAUCUUCUGUGAUACUGAAUGACCACAGUAUCCUUUAGAAGAUGGGGAAUGCUGACCUGUUGAAGGAUGUCAAUUAUUACUGUUAUACAACUAGAUCGGUUCGGUUGAAAACAAGAGAAAUGGGUAGAAGUGACGUAUGUGUUGCUGUUUAUCUCUCUGAGAGACAUGUCAGACUUAGGUCCUAAGGGUGCAGAUUUGGGUGUGAAACCUUCAGUAGCUCCUUCCUGUCCUCUUACUUCGCCCCUGUAUCAGGGGCUCCCAACUGAACAGGCUGAGAAUCAGGGCACCCUUCCAGGAGAGGUUGCUCAGUCUCGGUAAAAGUUCAAAGAGUACCAACUACGGUCAAGACUAUCUAGAGAAUCCAGAAAAAUACACAGAAGCCUUUAUGGGGCUAACUUUACUUUAUGACCUUACUUGGAAAGAUGUAAUGUAUGUCUUGGGACAGACGCUGACUCCUGACUCGAGAGCUCUAGUUCUGAGAGAAGCUACUACUUUUGGAGAUGAAUGGCUUGAACAUGAGACAGGGGCAAAGAGAUACCAAGUAGUUCCUAUAACAGAGCCACUUUGUCAGAUAUAUUCUUGAAGGACUCAAGUGAGCACAUGCUAAGACUUUAAAUUACGCUAAGUUUGCUGACAUAGAACAGUGAGAGAAGGAAACUCCUGAUAAACUCCUAGUAUAGACUACGGGAGGCUCUCCACAAGUUUACCAAUAUCGAUCUUCAAAGUGCAGAAGGAGGAAAAUAGAAGGAAAAAGAGAACCAGGCAAAAGACAGAAGCCCCAACAGUGGCUGUUAGAUCUGCUCUGAAACAUCCUCAGGAAAAACGCCCAGAGGAUCCCAGGUGAAAAGGGACAGCCUUGCUAUUACUGUGGAAACGAGGGGCAUCUCGAGUGGGAUUGCCCUUAGGCAUCUAAGCCGCCCCGGCUCCAUGUCCUGUCUGCAAAGGACCUUACUGGAGAAGAGGCUGCCCUCCGAGGUGUAGGCCCCAGGGGUCAGGCUCUCAAGACAACAAUUGGGACCAAAGCUGCCCCGGGGUCCCCACACAAGCUCCCGUCCUAGUAACACCUGAGGAACCCCGGGUAUUAAUAACUGUGGAGGGCCAAUCAGUCUUUUCUUUUGGACACUGGGGCAACUUUCUGCUCACUAAAGCCCCUGGUCUGCUUUCUUCACGAUCCACUACUGUAAUGGGGCUGUCUGGACAAGCCAAAUAUUUUUCAAUCAUUGAUUUGAAGGAUGCUUUCUAGAGUUUACCUCUGACUUUAAGACAAUUGAAAGGAUUCUUGGGCAUUGCCACAGGCUAUUGCCACUUUUGGGUUCCAGGUUAUGGGGAACUUGCCUGGCCUUCAUAUAAACUUAUAACAGACUCAGCAGGCCCAAACGGACAGGCUAGUUUGGUCUCUAGUUACUCAAAAGGCUUUUGAGUGAGUGAGUGAGUGAAGUCUCUCAGUUGUGUCCGACUCUUUGCUACCCCAUGGACUGUAGUCUACCAGGCUCCUCCAUCCAAGGGAUAAGGCUCUUCAAAUUGCUCUCUUGCAGACUCCAACUUUGAGCUUGCCCACAGGAUCAGAGUUUGUUUGUUACUGAAAAUAACGGCUAUGGCCACAUUGUUUAAGGGUAAUUGUUACUAUUGUUUUAUUAAUGCCUAAAGCUCAUAAGUUUACUAAUGGGCAAAAUCAUACUGUAUUGACUUCUCAUGAUGUAAGUGGGAUCCUAAAUUCUAAAACUCAGAGCAACAAUGCUCCACCUUUAAAGCUGCUGUAACUCAAGGGUUGUCAAAAGCUCUAGGAAUAGAACAUCACUCACACUGUUUCUGGAGAUCCCAAUCUUCAGAAAAAGUUGAAAAGGCUAAUGACAUUAUUAAAAGACACCCAUGUAAGAUAACUCAGGAAACACAAGACAGCUGCUUUAGCACUUUACAGCUGCUUUUCAACUGUUGUAACCAUAGCUUUAAUGAGGGCUUGAACUGCCCGCCCCCUGCAAAGAAAGGACUGUCUCUAUGACAGACUGUUUUUGUGCACAGAUAUUGUCAUAGAUCCUGAAGCCUUAAAAUUAACUGUGUAACUCAGCUUUUAGCUCUUCAACAGACAUUACCAGGAGGUUAACUCCUAACCCAGCCUUUGAGGCAAACAAGACAGUGUUUGAGCCAGAAACCGAGAUGGGCCUGAGAAUCUAUGUGGGCUUGCUUCUGCUGACUCCAAAAGUCCUGAGUCUGCCGUUUGACCCUCAAGACAACACCUUCCUGUCCUGGGCUCAUUCAUAUGCCACAUAAUUGCUGGGUCUGUGGAGCGCUCCCCUCUUCAUCAACUGAAGACUUCCCAUGGUUUCUACCUUGCAGUCUUUGACCCGAAUGGCAAAUGUAGUUUAAUGAAUCUCUCAGUGAAAAAAAACAAGAAAAAGAUAAACAGGAUGCUUUCGAAAGUUCAUGAUGCAAUCACAAGGAUCCACCCAGGUGGACUGUCUGCACAAAGGCACGUGAACUUGUUCUGGCCCAGGUGGUUGUUCGCUGGCCAAGGAAAACUCAUAACUUUCUUUGCACUGGCCCCAGUGAACAUUGCUCCCAGACAGAAGUGGCAGGAAGUAAUAUGGAUACAAACUUUCCCCCAAGAGUCCCUGGGGGUGAGGGAGGAGAGGGUGGGACAAAUGGAGAGAGUAAUGUUGACAUACAUACUCUAUCAUGUUUAAAACAGAUAGCUAGUGGGAAGCUGCGGUAUAACACAGGGAAUUCAGCUGGAUGCUCUGUGAUGACCUAGACGGGUGGCGAUAGCGGAAGGAGUGGGAGAGAGACUCCAGAGGGAGUGGAUACAUGUAUGUGCUGUGCUGUGCUAAGUUGCUUCAGUGUCUUAC